AGCACCGUAGUUCAGCGGGAGAACGCUGGGCUCAUAACUCAGAGGUCGUAGGAUCGAAACCUACCGGUGCUA